rnacentral:rRNA from 1 species
UACGGAGGAUGCGAGCGUUAUCCGGAUCUAUUGGGUUUAAAGGGUGCGUAGGCGGGCUUUUAAGUCAGCGGUAAAAAUUCGGGGCUCAACCCCGUCCGGCCGUUGAAACUGGGGGUCUUGAGUGGGCGAGAAGAAGGCGGAAUGCGUGGUGUAGCGGUGAAAUUCAUAGAUAUCACGCAGAACCCCGAUUGCGAAGGCAGCCUUCCGGCGCCCUACUGACGCUGAGGCACGAAAGUGCGGGGAUCGAACAGG